rnacentral:tRNA from 1 species
GCAGUGGUGGUUCAGUAGUAAAACUCUCGCUUUCCAUGCGGGAGACCUGGGUUUGAUUCCCAGCCAACGCA